UUGUAAGAUACGAUUAUGAUUGAAAUCCAAUUUCACUGGUGCAAGCACGAGGUCGAGGUCGUGCAGAAAACAGCCGUUUCUAUGUGCUAGCCUCUGCAGAUAAGUGUGUUGCUGAAAGAGAGUGUGUAAAUACUUUAAAAGAACCCAUGAUAGAAAAAGCAAUGAAAAAAGUACAACUAGAGAUUGAUUCCAACCACGAUGUGUUCUUUAAAAAGCAACAAGAGUUUCAGAAACUCGCUAAAAGGGAACGCGAUGCAGCAAAGCAUAACAAGGAAAGAAGAGUCGUAGAAAUUGGGCAAUAUUGCCUAAGGUGCUUGAAAUGCAAUGCUUUCUUGUGUAUGUCGAGCGAGUUAAGGAGUAUACUAAAUGCUCAUCAUACUUGUAUAAGUGAAUAUUUUAAAAAUAGCAUUUUCGGGAAAAAAUAUUCCAAAGCAGCUUAUCCUGGAAAGGAUAUCGAGAUGGGAGUCGGUCAUAUAUCCUGCAAAGAAUGCCUUGUAAAACUGGGAACCAUCGCUCUCUAUAAAGAUGUAUUUUUUCCUGUUUUAAGUAUCGGAGCAUUGAAAAUCGAAGAAGAUUUGGAGCGAAGAGAUACAUUAAAAAAAUGGAAAUUGGUGAAAAGAUAUUUAAAGGUGCCUGAAUUGACAACGGAUGAUCUUGAAAGUGUUGCAAAGUUUGGAAGGCUUAUCGAAUUUUGAAAGUAUUCUAAAACAGAUUGCCACAAAGAAGUCUAAAUAUUUGAUGGUUUACUUUUUUUUUUACAUGUAUUAAUUCAGCUUUCUUAAGCUUACUUUAUUGACAUUUUUAUA